GAGAGGGUGCAAGUCCCUCCCGGCAAGGGUCGCUCCAGCCGGUAGCAAUCGGAGCAGGCGGGAAGGCGACGACCUGUCUGAAGCCUCCGGUGGAAAGGGUCAUUUAGUGACUCCGCGAGUGUGCGGGCUGUAACUUGA
rnacentral:ncRNA from 1 species